rnacentral:snRNA from 1 species
AACUAUCUUAUUUUGACAUCUAU